ACAGCCUGUACUUUCCUGUCUCCCUCCGUCGCUGCUUCCAUGAACUCCUACCAGGUGGCGUACAUGAGGCUGUAAUGUCAGAGGUCAAGAGCCAUGGAUCCACUCGUCUUUCCUAGAGGGAGGAUCAGCAGAAGAAACACCGGAACACUAGAGUACAGUUACUUAUCUGUCAGACUCAUUUGAGUGAAGCCAAUGCCCUCAUCCAUCAUCCCAAUACGGCGGUCUCACAGGAGAUCUACUCGGGCAGAGCUGUGUUCAAGGCGCACAUAAUGGAAAACCAAGUUCCAUUGCCCAAGUUCAGCUGGUGCACACCUCCGAGUGGAGCAUUCACCUUAAAGAACGAUCAUUCCGUUAUACGUUUUGAAAAGGUUUCUUCAAUUUGGUCCUACUGAACAUGACCCUGAUAGCUGCUGUAAUGCCAGACCAUGUAAAAAGACUUGUGACUAAUCAUUCCAAUGGAAUGUCUGAGUUAUUGAUGACCUGUCCAGAUUAAAUAGUGACUCUGACUAACA